GGCGAAUGAACAGGGAUCAGCUCAGGAUGGAAAUUGGGGCCUUUGGCCUKGAAUUGUAAUCUGGAGAUGUACCACCAACUGGGGCGUAGAUGUAAGCCUUUUGGAAAAGAGCAUCAAUGAGGGUGAGAGUCCCGCAUGUCAUCUGCAGUCCCCAGUGCACGGUGUACCUUCUAAGAGUCACGUUCCUCGGGAUUGGAGCGCAAAUUGGGUGGUAAAUUUCAUCUAAAGCUAAAUAUUGCUUCGAGACCGAUAGCAAACAAGUACCAUGAGGGAAAGGUGAAAAGGACUUUGAGAAGAGAGUUAAAAGUGCCUGAAAUUGCUGAAAGGGAAGCGAAUGGAACCAGUGCAGCUUGGCAAGAUUGUUACGUGCCAGUGUGAUUGCUUGCUGCCUCAACGCAAGUGUGGCAGUAGGUCUUGAGCAUGACGCUCGUGGUGCUUCUUGCCUUGUGUGUCAACACCAGUUCACGGCUGAGGAAAACUUCAGGGACAUGGUAGCCUGUCUCCGGGUGGGUGAAUGUGCUUGCUGGAA
rnacentral:rRNA from 1 species